AGAGUUUGAUCCUGGCUCAGAACGAACGUUGGCGGCGUGGAUUAGGCAUGCAAGUCGAACGAAUCCCACCUGGGCAACUGGGUGGGGGAAGUGGCGAAAGGGGCAGUAAGGCGUGGGCAACCUACCCCGGGGACCGGGAUAGCCGUCCUAACGGACGGGUAAUACCGGGCGAUGCGGCGAAGGGGCAUCUCUUUGCCGUG
rnacentral:rRNA from 1 species